rnacentral:rRNA from 1 species
ACGCACGCUGGCGGCGUGCUUAACGCAUGCAAGUCGCACGGAAAGGCCCUGCUUUUGUGGGGUGCUCGAGUGGCGAACGGGUGAGUAACACGUGAGUAACCUGCCCUUGACUUUGGGAUAACUUCAGGAAACUGGGGCUAAUACCGGAUAGGAGCUCCUGCUGCAUGGUGGGGGUUGGAAAGUUUCGGCGGUUGGGGAUGGACUCGCGGCUUAUCAGCUUGUUGGUGGGGUAGUGGCUUACCAAGGCUUUGACGGGUAGCCGGCCUGAGAGGGUGACCGGCCACAUUGGGACUGAGAUACGGCCCAGACUCCUACGGGAGGCAGCAGUGGGGAAUAUUGCACAAUGGGCGGAAGCCUGAUGCAGCAACGCCGCGUGCGGGAUGACGGCCUUCGGGUUGUAAACCGCUUUCGCCUGUGACGAAGCGUGAGUGACGGUAAUGGGUAAAGAAGCACCGGCUAACUACGUG